GUGGCGGAGCGGGGCGGUCGCGGCUCGCCCAUUAUGGCGUGCCGAGGAAAGUCCGAGCUCCACAGGGCAGACUGCCAGGUAACGCCUGGGCGCCGAGAGGCGACGGACAGGGCCACAGAAAAGACACCGCCCGUCGCGAGACGGGUAAGGGUGAAAAGGUGGGGUAAGAGCCCACCGCGCGCCUGGCAACAGGCGUGGCACGGCAACCCCCAGUCGGAGCAAGGCCAAAUAGGCGGCGAGGUCCGGCCCGGACCGUUUUCCAGCCGCGGGUAGGCCGCACGAGGUGUCGGGCGACCGGCACCCAAGAGAGAUGACCGUCCGGCGGUUCGCCGUCGAACAGAACUCGGCUUACGGCUCCGCCACUCCG
rnacentral:RNase_P_RNA from 1 species